CAAGAAGCCAGGUGGCACUGAGAACUCUACGUCCAUGAUGCCUUUCCUCUUACAAACAGGGGACCAAACUGAGAUGCUCGGCAGGAAUAAAUGAAGACUUUAGGCACGUGAUGACAGGAGAUAGCAUUCCUCUGACUUAAGGCUAGUGACUGGCCACCAACAAGAGCAAUCUGUCCUGCACCUCCAUAAUGCCAUCAGCUGCAAUGCCUCAUCAGGGAGACAAGAAAGAACUACUGCAUUCAGCGUACUGAUGGAAGAAGGCACCCUGUGCGUCUUUGAACCCGCUCUUUCCUCCCAGAAAACAUGGUUACACAAGGGAGGUCACUGGAGGGAAGGAGUUUGCGCAUUGCUGGUCCUGGGGCAGAACAGAGAUAAAGCCCUAGAAAAUGUCCAAGCUUUUGGCUGCAAGAAUUUGGGAUACAAACCAUGAAAAUGUGCAGUAGCACUGGGAAAAUAUCCCCUCCAGCCUUCUAUUUCCUUUCAUAUCAGCAUGAAUAUAACUAACGAGGAGCAGAAUGUGAAUAAUUUGAAAGACAGAACUAUUGUAUUUAAUGAAUAAAACACAAAUACUCUUCUCCA
rnacentral:lncRNA from 1 species